UCGUAAGAAAAGGGGGUAAUGAAGUUAAGUACUAAGAUUUCCCACGCACUGUGAAUGCACCGCACCUGCACAGUUGCGCUGCUCACAGCUCCUCCCUGCUCAGACCAAACGCACUUUCUUCCAUGGCAUCUAUCUGCAUAGAGCAAGAGGCACCAGAUGUUGUAGGAGUUCAGUCCUGAAAUCCGUUGAGCUGAGGAGUUUUUUUUGUUGUUGUUGAAGAAUCCUGGUGAGUCUUGUGAAACAAGUGUUUUUUGCUAUGUAAAACCAGUCAGGUUAUGAGCUUUUGUUAGAAAUAUGACUACAAUUGCUGUUCAUGGUUUAUUAGGUGCAUUGGCAUGGUAAGAAGUAAGCUAACUCACCACAUGUGCUCUUCUAAAAAAAAACAUGUACUUUUGUGUGAGGUUUAAGCUAGCUGCACCAUGUGUGGUGCUGCUGUAGGUCAUAAUGUAACUUACCCUUUUGCAGGUCUCCUAGAUUACUUUGAAAGAUAAGAAUACUUAUUACAGGCCUUAAUAGCUGCAUAUACAGUAAAAGACAAGUUGGAACUGAUAAUUUUAUUUUAUUUUCUGUAUUUAUUUUGUUUUGUUUUCUGUACAAUGUGAUUAAAACAAUUUAAUUUAGGAUGAUUACAUGAUUGUUUUCCAGUUGAAGUAAUUGGUUUGCACAAUUGUGUGCAGGCUGGUUUUAUAUAUACAUAUAGUCCCUGCACCUGCUGCCACAACCUGAGGGGUUCCAUCCACGGACCGAACUAGGAACCACUGGAGAUGCUGCUGCAGGAUGCAUCCAUUGUGAAGGCCACCUGUUUCUCUGGAGGGUGGUAGGGAAGAAACAGAUUCCCAAUCUGCUCUGAGGAUUUCUAUUUUUGUUUUUUUGAGAUCUCAAAUCAUUUAUUUUUAUUUUUUUUUUGUUACUUUUGGGUCAGAUCUGAUACCACAAACCAAACUGAUGCAUCAGGAAUAUUAAAACUUGCAUUAAAUACCUACCAAAGAGUGGAAGACGGUGUACUCAGCUGAAAUGGACAGUAUUUUUUUUUAGUGCACUUGUGGACUCUGAUAGAGGAUGGUAUUGUUGAAUUGAAUGAAUGUGGAAGUGAACAAACUGUGUUGUGCCAAUGUUCUAGUUCAGCAUUUUGAAAUACAGGUUUUCAGUUAUUCAAUUCUAA